rnacentral:lncRNA from 1 species
AGUAAUAGUUCUCUCUUGGCCAGGCUGCUUUGAUUUAUUUUUUUAGAAGGAAAAAAUGCCCUUUGAAAAAAACCCAUCUCACUUUUGCUUUUUUUUGACCGCAACUGAAAAAGAGUUAGUCAAAGUAUGGACAUAGGCAAGGCUUAUCUUUCAUGUUCCAUUCAGUGAAUACCAACUGCCUUUUAUGGGAUCAAAUUCAUGGCUUGGGGUUUAUUAUCACUGGGCAUAGGAAAAGAACUAACCAGCCCACAAGAGUAAAUUGGGAGAUGUCAUUAAUUGAAGGGUAUAAAGCAAAAGCAUGGCCAAACAUAAUGUAUUGCAUCCCUAGGCAGAAAUUGAAAUAUGUGCUUUUUCAGAUGUAACAUUUUAAUUGGCCUACCUGAUAGAAGGUUAAAUAAAAUGUACACUAAACCUCAUUACUACUCAAUUGUCAAAUACCCUCCCUGAAACAUGACUCAAACUAGCAGUGAGUGGGUACAACUCAGAAUUAUGAGACCUAAAAGAUCUCUUUAGCAACACUAUUUGCAAUAUAGAGUUUUAAGUGGUCCCAUUAGACCAACUACUCUCUUGCUAUUUUAUCCACGAGUUUUAAAUACAAGGCUGAGUUCUGAAAAUUCCUUUUCCAUAUAAUAAUCCACUCCAAAUGCCCUCCUGAAAAUGAUCUGAUAGUACAUUUCUAAUAAAAUGCCACUAUGGAAUGAAGCCUAUUGCCUGGCACAAAAACAAAAUACUGCAUCUUAACAUGAGAUUUGAAGAUUUUUCUGGCAUUAAAUGGUUCCAAAAAUGAAAGAUUGUCUUCUCCAUCCAUUUCCGACCCCCCCCCCACAAAAAAACAAAAAAAAUCCCACAACUCUGUAAAGGAUCAUUUCAUUCAUAACAAAGAUAGAGGCAUGAGGAUGAAUGUCAUGGAAUAUCACAAGACACUGAAACUCCCCACAAUAAAAAUGAUAUUCAAAUGAAGAUGAAUUCAAACUGUGCCAUGAUUAUAUUUUUUGAUUCUCCUGAUUCUUUGAUUCUCACCAUUGACUGAUGCUAUAGUGAAUAAGCUGCCCACACUUCCUCAUUUUUCUGCAAGUCAACUAUCUGGCUACUGGUAGUUCCAAUCAUCUCUGCUGCUCUACAACCAGUAAAGAGAAAUAUAAUAACAUGUGUUCCUAUGCUACGGGAAUUCCUUCUGUCAACAAACGACUGAGCCUCUACUUUAUGCCAACCUCGUGGGAGAGAUUAACCUAGUGAAAAAGACAAACCCUGCCCUCCAGGAACUUAAUGUCUAGUGUGGAAGAGCACACGGUGGGAGUUCUCCUUGUGGUGCAGCAGAAACAAAUCUGACUAGUAACCGUGAGGUUGCAGGUUCGAUCCCUGGCAUUACUCAGUGGGUUAAGGAUCCGGUGUUGUUGUGGGCUGUGGUGUAGGUCACAGAUGUGACUCAGAUCCUGCAUUGCUAUGGUUGUGGCAAAGGCUGGCGGCAACAGCUCCAAUAAGACCCCUAGCCUGGGAACCCUGGGAACCUCCAUGGGUGCGGCCCUAGAAAGACAAAAGACAAAAAAAUAAAUAAAUAAAAUAAAAUAAAAUAAAAUAGGAAUAAGUCUUUCCUAUGAGUAUCAGUAGCCCACUACCAUAAUAACACUGUCUAACAAACCACUCUUAAACUUAGUGCCUUAAAGAAUAAUUAUUCUUGCAGAUCUGAAAAAGGCUGGGGUCCAGCUGAUCAACACUGGGCUUGGCUUAAGUCAAGGGAAUGCUUCUCUGCCUCUGGUUGCAGAAGCUGUGGCAGCUUUACUUCUUACUGCAUGUCUGUGGGUCAACUGAGGAAGCUCUGCAUAAAGCAUCCUUCCUCCUUGCCAGGCAUGUGUCUUUUGUGGCAAUAGCAGAAGUUCAGGAGGAAGAGUGAAAACAGGCAGGGCCUCUUAAGGCCUAUGCCUGGGGUUGGCAUGCCGGCCCAUGUGUAAGUGGGCAAAGAAGGUCACAUGGCCAAGUAAAGGGGUGGAGAAAUAUGAUCUGCCCACCAUAUGGCCAUGGCAAGGAUGUGGUGAAGAAGGAAGGAGGAAGGAGUUAAGAAUCAGGCCAAAAUGAGGGCUGUUGUGAAGCCUCAUAGCCUCAUGGAAGGGCCCUGGUUCUGUCAAAACUAGUUAUAAGAUUAUGGCAAGUCACAGAGUUUCCCUGCGUGGUUUUUUGUGUUGUUGGUGUUUUGUUUGCUUUUACCUACCACUUGAGUUUAAAAUAGCUCUCAUAGCUGACUCAUUUUCUUCAUUAUGCUGCUAAAAGGAUCAAAUAACAUACGGUGGCUGAUCAUGUUUCAAAAAGAAUAAAACAUCCUAGGAAUGCAAAGUAUAGUAUAUGGCUAAUUCUAGACAACCAUUUGGUUAAGGUCAGUAAAUCCUUCCAAUUUUAAGUGAUAGGAAGCCAUUGUUCUUAUUUUAUAGAUGUGGUAAAUGCUUCAAGGAAUUAAAGCACUUCUUUUCUGGCCAUAAAUCCAAAUACUGGCUCAGAAGGGAUGGAAUUAAUGUUUCCCAUCUUCUAGAUGUUAGUUGGGUCAGAAACUUAACACUGCUGCUAAGGUUUAUCAUUCUUUAGCAUGAGGUGGUUCACAUUCAAAUUCCAGAGGUUCAGAAUAGUAAGGAAACCGCCAAGCAACUACAUAGUCUCAUCUACUUAUUCAGCUAACAAAUCCUUAGGAUCCAGGAAUACAAAGAUGAAAUGCCCACUGACUGUCCUCGGAGAUGUACAGCUGCAGCAUUUGACUAUGAGAACUACAUGUAUCUCUAGAGCAAAUUACUCCAACUUCAUUGGCUUCCAGGAGCCCAUGUGCCGUCUCCUAUCUACUACUUAGCCCCACUGAUGAUAUGGAAUAAGAGACAAAAAGAUAAUUUGAAAAUCAUGUCCAGAGACAAUGGGGUGGGUUGAAGGUGGCAGAAACAGGGGCUUCUGAGGAAGGAAUAAAGGCAAGUUCUGAGACCACAUAUACAGUCUACUCACUCGACCCAGGGCCAAUGGACUACAGUUUGGGAAGCAUACUCUCCUUCCUGCAUACUACUGUAGUACACAGGUAACUGGCUGCUCAAGCACUUUAUAGGCAGUUCCCUUUAGGUAAGCCUUGGAGACAUAGCAGAGUCUGCAGGAUUGGUGGAGACCACCGAGGCAGGGCUGAAAAAGCACCC